rfam:Picea glauca, whole genome shotgun sequence.
GGGUGUGAUCGUACCAAUGUUAAUGCACCAUAUCCCAUCAAAAUUUUGUAGUUAAGCGCACUUGGGAUAGAUUAGUACUUAGAUGGGUGACCUCCCGGUAGGUCCUAGUGUUGCACCCU